rnacentral:rRNA from 1 species
AUUGGACGCUGGCGGCAGGCCUAACACAUGCAAGUCGAACGGUAACAGGAAGCAGCUUGCUGCUUUGCUGACGAGUGGCGGACGGGUGAGUAAUGUCUGGGAAACUGCCUGAUGGAGGGGGAUAACUACUGGAAACGGUAGCUAAUACCGCAUAACGUCGCAAGACCAAAGAGGGGGACCUUCGGGCCUCUUGCCAUCGGAUGUGCCCAGAUGGGAUUAGCUAGUAGGUGGGGUAACGGCUCACCUAGGCGACGAUCCCUAGCUGGUCUGAGAGGAUGACCAGCCACACUGGAACUGAGACACGGUCCAGACUCCUACGGGAGGCAGCAGUGGGGAAUAUUGCACGAUGGGCGCAAGCCUGAUGCAGCCAUGCCGCGUGUAUGAAGAAGGCCUUCGGGUUGUAAAGUACUUUCAGCGGGGAGGAAGGGAGUAAAGUUAAUACCUUUGCUCAUUGACGUUACCCGCAGAAGAAGCACCGGCUAACUCCGUG